rnacentral:rRNA from 1 species
CAGUGAGGAAUAUUGGGCAAUGGAGGCAACUCUGACCCAGCCAUGCCGCGUGCAGGAAGACUGCCCUAUGGGUUGUAAACUGCUUUUAUACGGGAAGAAACCCAACUACGUGUAGUUGGCUGACGGUACCGUAAGAAUAAGCACCGGCUAACUCCGUGCCAGCAGCCGCGGUAAUACGGAGGGUGCAAGCGUUAUCCGGAAUCAUUGGGUUUAAAGGGUCCGUAGGCGGAUUGAUAAGUCAGAGGUGAAAUCCCACAGCUUAACUGUGGCACUGCCUUUGAUACUGUUAGUCUUGAGUUAUAUGGAAGUAGAUAGACUGUGUAGUGUAGCGGUGAAAUGCUUAGAGAUUACACAGAAUACCGAUUGCGAAGGCAGUCUACUACGUAUAUACUGACGCUAAUGGACGAAAGCGUGGGGAGCGAACAGGAUUAGCUACCCUGGUACUCCACGCCGUAAACGAGGCACUAGUGUGGACUCUUUCAGUGACUCAGC